AAGUCGUAACAAGGUUUCCGUAGGUGAAUCUGCGGAGGGAUCAUUAACACGAAUCCAACGUUAAACCACCCGUGCACCUUCAUCUCCAAAGCGAUUCUUUGCGGCAUGUUAAGUCGUGACCCACCGGAUCUAGGGAGUUGGACUACCCAAGGAGAACCUCCACACCUGGUUGCGAUGUAAAUCUUCAUGCAAAACUAACCGCUCGGGGGUUCUCCGGGGCUUCCAGAGCUGGUAACCCAACAAUGAAUAUCUUGGCUCUC
rnacentral:misc_RNA from 1 species